rnacentral:misc_RNA from 1 species
GAUGAAGAACGUAGCGAAAUGCGAUAAGUAAUGUGAAUUGCAGAAUUCAGUGAAUCAUCGAAUCUUUGAACGCACAUUGCGCCCGCCGGUAUUCCGGCGGGCAUGCCUGUUCGAGCGUCAUUUCAACCAUCAAGCCCUGGGCUUGUGUUGGGGACCUGCGGCUGCCGCAGGCCCUGAAAUGCAGUGGCGGGCUCGCAAGACACACCGAGCGUAGUAGCUUACAACCUCGCUUUGGGAGUGCUGCGGGUGCUGGCCGUAAAGCGACCUUUGCGUCUUUAGCACUAGGUUGACCUCGGAUCAGGUAGGAGGACCCGCUGAACUUAAGCAUAUCAAUAGGCGGAGGA